rnacentral:rRNA from 1 species
UGGUGGAGUGAUUUGUCUGGUUAAUUCCGUUAACGAACGAGACCUCGACCUGCUAAAUAGUUCAACAAAGGUUCGCCUUUGGUUUAUGUGACUUCUUAGAGGGACUAUCGGUGUGUAGCCGAUGGAAGUUCGAGGCAAUAACA